UACGAAGGGGGCUAGCGUUGUUCGGAAUUACUGGGCGGAAAGCGCGCGCAGGCGGCUAUCCAAGUCAGUGGUGAAAGCCCGGAGCUCAACUCCGGAACUGCCAUUGAAACUGUUUAGCUUGAGGAUGAGAGAGGUGAGUGGAAUUCCCAGUGUAGAGGUGAAAUUCGUAGAUAUUGGGAAGAACACCGGUGGCGAAGGCGGCUCACUGGCUCAUUACUGACGCUCAGGCGCGAUAGCGUGGGGAUCAAACAGG
rnacentral:rRNA from 1 species